CAGCACUAAAGCACCGGAUCCCUUCAAAACUCCGAAGUUAAGCGUGCUUNNNCGAGAGUAGUACUAGGAUGGGUCGUGCUUGGGCGAGAGUAGUACUAUGAUGGGUGACCUCCUGGGCUGUCCUAGUUUUGCAUUCC
rnacentral:rRNA from 1 species